rnacentral:rRNA from 1 species
GUGGGGAAUAUUGCACAAUGGGCGCAAGCCUGAUGCAGCCAUGCCGCGUGUGUGAAGAAGGCCUUCGGGUUGUAAAGCACUUUCAGCGGGGAGGAAGGCGAUAAGGUUAAUAACCUUGUCGAUUGACGUUACCCGCAGAAGAAGCACCGGCUAACUCCGUGCCAGCAGCCGCGGUAAUACGGAGGGUGCAAGCGUUAAUCGGAAUUACUGGGCGUAAAGCGCACGCAGGCGGUCUGUCAAGUCGGAUGUGAAAUCCCCGGGCUCAACCUGGGAACUGCAUUCGAAACUGGCAGGCUAGAGUCUUGUAGAGGGGGGUAGAAUUCCAGGUGUAGCGGUGAAAUGCGUAGAGAUCUGGAGGAAUACCGGUGGCGAAGGCGGCCCCCUGGACAAAGACUGACGCUCAGGUGCGAAAGCGUGGGGAGCAAACAGGAUUAGAAACCCCGGUAGUCC